rnacentral:rRNA from 1 species
GACGAACCGUGCAAACGUUGUUCGGAAUCACUGGGCUUAAAGGGCGCGUAGGCGGGCCAGCAAGUCCGGGGUGAAAUCUUUCGGCUCAACCGGAAAAGUGCCUUGGAUACUGCUGGUCUCGAGCGAGGUAGGGGCAGGCGGAACUUCCGGUGGAGCGGUGAAAUGCGUAGAUAUCAAGAGGAACACCUGCGGCGAAGGCGGGUUGCUGGGCCGACACUGACGCUGAAGCGCGAAAGCCAGGGGAGCGAACGGG